CCCAGGGUUGAUCUGGCGACACUCCGAGGAACAGUUUGGGGCUUGCUUUAGUGCGGAUGUUAGUUAUGGCCAGCGCACAGAUUUGUGCAGGGAAUUAAUAUGGAAUGUUUCCUGCUAGGAAAAGGGAAACAUUAGCUUAGCUCCAAAAUAACAAAAAGCUGAGCCUAACGGCACAGCUUUCCACGCCUCCCUUUAGAUUCUCUAGAACCUUCAGGGAAUUCCUAAAUCUGCAUGUGAAUACCUCGGUUCUGGGUCUGCAAUUGCUGGGUGGAAUAACAUCUUCCAAAAGGUCUCCAGAGGAAUGCAGUUAGAUCGGAAUGUGCUUCCUUCUUCAAUCCACACUAAGAUCCCCGGAAAAUGAAAGCGCUUCCUCCGCGACCUCUUUGUGUAGAGCUAGUGAGACCCCAGAACCUCUCCGACCCUGGGUACGAACCCCAACGCCAGCAUCCCCCGGCGGACACCCCCGGUUCCCACGUCUGCAGGACAAAAGGCAGCUGUGCCGCCUCGUGCGCUCUCCCAGUGGCCUCAAGGUCUGGUUAGCCCUUUGUGUCCCUCAAGUUCCGUCUUCCUUUUGAUGUGCUCGCAGCAGCUCUGAGCCCGGGAGCGCCGGCCCUCCCCGCAUUCUGCCUCCCUGCGCCCGACCGGGCGGAAUGACAUGCCUUCAUCGACGCCCUCUGCACGCCCUUCCACCCUUGCCCUUGCUUGGGGACCUCGUGGGAAACGGCCUCCAAUCCCUGCAUCCAAGUUCAUUAAAAGCCGUUUUUCUCUUGCAUAAUCAAAGCACUCUGUCCCUCAUUGAUCAAUCCACAGCCUAACCAAGCAAUUGAGAAGAAAUUCAUCUGCGUCCCCAAAGGUUCGCAGUGUUUGGAAAGUAUUGAACAGGGAGCGGAUGUUUCCUCUGUUUGCACUAACAAAAGGCAGAGUGCCUGCCUGGGGGUUUGAUAAGGAUCUGUGAAGCAAGGCCACCCCAGGCUGCCUCUCUAGCCACGGAGAAGCCGAAAAGCCACAGCCCCUGCUAAGUUAAUGAUGGGGAACGCUAGCAUUACCUUCUCAGAGACCAGAUUUUGUUAGGGAGCACGUGGCAAGAUCCCAUCUUAUCUGUUCCUUUCAACUGGCCACUGUCUUGAUUCUCACCCCUACCGCCACCCUGGUGAGGAGAGCUUGCUGGGUGGCUUACCUGAUCGGAUCUGAAAGGGAUCCUUUUACCGGAAUGGGAAGAGGCUACCGAACGAGGCUACAAAAGCAGCUGAUGCAGAUAAAUCUGAAUGUAGGGGAUGUUGUCCACCCUGUGGUACAGGAAAUGUUGACCUUGGAAAGCCACUUGUUCACCUGGCUAUUUUGGGAUAGUUGAGAGGCUAACUCCUGUUGUGUGUUGACUCUAAUUGUUGAAUGAUAGUGCCAGAACUAGAAAACUAGAGAUAAUUAAAUGCUUUUAGCAUAGCUCCUAACCAGGAAAAUUACUUAUUUGUUGAGUGAUUUGCAUUGUAGUUUUGCUGUUAAGUAGCCUGUGGUAAGUGUAGCAUGCAGGUUGUCUCAUAAUCUAUCACGACACUGUUAUGAGGUGGAUAUUAUUUA
rnacentral:lncRNA from 1 species